GACGAACGCUGGCGGCGUGCCUAAUACAUGCAAGUAGAACGCUGAAGGAGGAGCUUGCUCUUUCCGGAUGAGUUGCGAACGGGUGAGUAACGCGUAGGUAACCUGCCUGGUAGCGGGGGAUAACUAUUGGAAACGAUAGCUAAUACCGCAUAACAGUAGAUAUCGCAUGAUAGCUGCUUGAAAGGUGCAAUUGCACCACUACCAGAUGGACCUGCGUUGUAUUAGCUAGUUGGUGAGGUAACGGCUCACCAAGGCAACGAUACAUAGCCGACCUGAGAGGGUGAUCGGCCACACUGGGACUGAGACACGGCCCAGACUCCUACGGGAGGCAGCAGUAGGGAAUCUUCGGCAAUGGACGGAAGUCUGACCGAGCAACGCCGCGUGAGUGAAGAAGGUUUUCGGAUCGUAAAGCUCUGUUGUAAGAGAAGAACGAGUGUGAGAGUGGAAAGUUCACACUGUGACGGUAUCUUACCAGAAAGGGACGGCUAACUACGUGCCAGCAGCCGCGGUAAUACGUAGGUCCCGAGCGUUGUCCGGAUUUAUUGGGCGUAAAGCGAGCGCAGGCGGUUAGAUAAGUCUGAAGUUAAAGGCUGUGGCUUAACCAUAGUACGCUUUGGAAACUGUUUAACUUGAGUGCAAGAGGGGAGAGUGGAAUUCCAUGUGUAGCGGUGAAAUGCGUAGAUAUAUGGAGGAACACCGGUGGCGAAAGCGGCUCUCUGGCUUGUAACUGACGCUGAGGCUCGAAGGCGUGGGGAGCAAACAGG
rnacentral:rRNA from 1 species